UCCUGGUCCAUUGCCCCUCCCCACAGGUGCUUCUACUCCACGGGACUGUGGUGGCGACGUGACAGCGGAGACAGCUGCAAUUAUUCCUGUCUGCGGGGCCAUCUAGCUGCCUUCCCGCUUCCCGGCAUGGAUCUGGAAGAAACAAAGAAGAUCGAGAAGGUUCAAACACCGGAGGGGAGUCGAGCAGUACUGCGUGUGGGGCCCGGUGUGGAGCAUUCCCUGGCUGCUACAGCCCCCAUCACUGCGAGGGAGUUACGUAACUACUGCCUGUGAUUUUUCUUCUUUCUGUAGGCCAAGGCACUCAUUUUCUGAAGUUAUUCUAAUUAUGUAUCCUCUCUUUUUAAGUGCAUUCACAUGGGGACUCACAGUUCACUGUAACCAAGCUCUCCUUCCAUCUAGUUAAAGUCCUUUUUGAAGCAAUCAGUAUUCAAACACUUGCAAAUAUGUAGAUCUCUGUAUCAUUAUACUACAUUAUUUCUUGUGUGACUUUAAUUUAUAUUUAAAGUAUCAUUAUAAAGCUAUUAACUUAAGGGUUGUCAGAUCAGGACUCAAACAAAUGUUUUGGGUUGCUCUACAUUGACCUCGACUCCCUGACUAAGUCUGAUUCGGCACAAAGGAAUGGAGAGAGGAUUUGUUUUUCGUUAAAGAGAUAUAAUGGAAACUAGACAGUUUGGCAACUGUUGUUGCAUGACAUUUAUUAUUUAUUAGACUCUUAAGGAAAUGGUGCACUCAGCUGUGCAAAUAAAAAAAAUUAAAUGAAGAAUCACUGCAUGUUAAACUGAAGAAUGUAAAUGACCAUUUUUGAAAGUAUUUUUUUAGGUAUGAGAAGAAAAAAAUAUUAAUCAGGUAAAUCAGACCAUCAUUCAGUUUCAUUUCUCUAGUGAAAAAAUAGAGGCACGUGUAUGUAUGAAUAAAAUAUAUUUUUCAGUAAUUUAGGAAUUUGCCAGAGUUCAGUCUGCUGCAAUAGCGAGCAUAGCUGGAACAAAAUAGCAGAAGGAGCUCAAUUAGAUAUAAGCUACAGGCAGCUGCUGUUAAUUAUUAUUCUUUUAUUGUGCUCCUAUUAAAUUGAUAAGGAAUUCAUUGAAGAUGAAUUACAGUGUUAUUGUUUCACCAUAUUAAAGAGCUUUACAGGUCAUCCUUGCUGGAGCAUACUGGGGCCAAGGCAGUCAGGAUUAUCUCUCGUCUGUGCGUGUGUGAGUCAGCUGGUUACAGUAACUAACGCUUGGUUGCAGGGCUCAGCAUGACAGAAAAGCCUCUGACUGCCUGAAUACAGCUGCUCGUCUCGGUGUUGCAUCCCCCCCCCCAUGUUUAUUCCGCUUCAAAUGAGGUUCAAAUGAAAUGAACGCUAGCAAAUAAAUUAGCAUUCGGUAAGAGAGCACGCCUGCACUAUGGGGUCGUCAGGCCGAAUUACUCGGGCUGUUGCCCUGAGGAUUUUAAGCCCAGCCCUGACUGUUUUUAUCCCCUGAUUUUUCACUAACUGGAAAUGCCCCUGACAGACAUUAGGGAGGCGCACUGGAUAAUGCAGUGACUUAAAAUAUUAAAAACUUUAUGCUGUUCUUCCUCAUCCUCAUUUUGAGUAAUAUUUCUUUUGCUUGCUUAUUAUCACACAUACGUCGAAGAAAUUACUGAUUAUGUUCAAAGAUAACUGAUAUUAUAAUCGAUUAAUAAGGAACACUAUUAGAUGUAAUUGCAUGGGUAAAACUUAUAGGGUUCUUACAAACUAACAAUUAUGAUACAUUCCAUUUAAGAACAAGACAUUUAGUUGUAAGAUAAUUUUAUUAUCAAAAGGCCCUGAGCCUGUGUCAUCUUCAGACCCACAGGCAGACAGACUGAGGGUCCCAGGGCAGCAUGGACACAUGAUCAGGACAUUUGUCCCAUACAGGAGGAGCUGUCCUUCAUUUUAACUUGUGUCCUGUAGUCAUCUUUGUCAGGUUUGACAGAAAGAUUGAUUUAUUGUUAUUUUUGUUAUGUUGUUUUGACAGGUGAGGGGUGAGUUUCCAGUCAGCGAAGAGAGAUGUCUUUCUGUCAGGAGGGAUAAAGGCACGACCAUCAGAGGGCAGUAGUGGUCUUCUGAGUCAUAUCUGAUGGAUGGAGACGCAGACGCACCUUCAGAUUUAUAACAUCUUUCUCUUUUUUUU